CUGGGCUUGGAAGCAUACACUUGUA
rnacentral:piRNA from 1 species